AUCACCAGAACCUCUGUUGGCUCCAUCUCUUACUGGAGAGGAGGGUAAAGAAGAGCAAGUAGAGAAGGAAAACAUCAAAGCAAAGCCUGAAGGAAUGAAACCAAUCCUCAAGAGGCCUGGUGCUGCUGCUGCAGCACCACAACCUGAAGAAGUCACCUUUGCCAACACUGAAAUGCCAAGCACAAGCACCGGGAAAGGAGACACUCGGAAGGAAAGCAUU